rnacentral:rRNA from 1 species
UACAGAGGGUGCAAGCGUUGUUCGGAAUUAUUGGGCGUAAAGGGCGCGUAGGCGGCCACGCACGUCCGUUGUGAAAUCGCCCGGCUCAACUGGGCGGGGUCAGCGGAUACGGCGCGGCUGGAGCAAGCUAGGGGGCAAUGGAAUUCCCGGUGUAGUGGUGGAAUGCGUAGAUAUCGGGAGGAACACCAGUGGCGAAGGCGGUUGCCUGGAGCUUUGCUGACGCUGAUGCGCGAAAGCGUGGGGAGCGAUCCGG